CCUACGGGAGGCAGCAGUGAGGAAUAUUGGUCAAUGGACGAGAGUCUGAACCAGCCAAGUAGCGUGAAGGAUGACUGCCCUAUGGGUUGUAAACUUCUUUUAUAUGGGAAUAAAACAGGGUAUGCAUACCCUCUUGUAUGUACCAUAUGAAUAAGGAUCGGCUAACUCCGUGCCAGCAGCCGCGGUAAUACGGAGGAUCCGAGCGUUAUCCGGAUUUAUUGGGUUUAAAGGGAGCGUAGGUGGAUUGUUAAGUCAGUUGUGAAAGUUUGCGGCUCAACCGUAAAAUUGCAGUUGAAACUGGCAGUCUUGAGUACAGUAGAGGUGGGCGGAAUGCGUGGUGUAGCGGUGAAAUGCUUAGAUAUCGCGAAGAACUCCGAUUGCGAAGGCAGCUUACUGGACUGCAACUGACACUGAUGCUCGAAAGUGUGGGUAUCAAACAGGAUUAGAUACCCCAGUAGUC
rnacentral:rRNA from 1 species